AUUGAACGCUGGCGGCAGGCCUAACACAUGCAAGUCGAACGGUAACAGGAAGAAGCUUGCUUCUUUGCUGACGAGUGGCGGACGGGUGAGAAUGUCUGGGAAACUGCCUGAUGGAGGGGGAUAACUACUGGAAACGGUAGCUAAUACCGCAUAACGUCGCAAGACCAAAGAGGGGGACCUUCGGGCCUCUUGCCAUCGGAUGUGCCCAGAUGGGAUUAGCUAGUAGGUGGGGUAACGGCUCACCUAGGCGACGAUCCCUAGCUGGUCUGAGAGGAUGACCAGCCACACUGGAACUGAGACACGGUCCAGACUCCUACGGGAGGCAGCAGUGGGGAAUAUUGCACAACGGGCGCAAGCCUGAUGCAGCCAUGCCGCGUGUAUGAAGAAGGCCUUCGGGUUGUAAAGUACUUUCAGCGGGGAGGAAGGGAGUAAAGUUAAUACCUUUGCUCAUUGACGUUACCCGCAGAAGAAGCACCGGCUAACUCCGUG
rnacentral:rRNA from 1 species